rnacentral:rRNA from 1 species
GAUGAACGCUGACAGAAUGCUUAACACAUGCAAGUCUUUGGCGAAGCUGUGCUUGCACAGCCUAGCCAAGGCGGACGGGUGAGUAACGCGUAAGGAACUUGCCCUGCAGUCAGGGAUAACAGACGGAAACGACUGAUAAGACCUGGUAAAGUCAGGCGGACUCAUGUCCAGCCUGAUGAAAAGAGAUGCUGCAGGAGAGCCUUGCGUCCUAUUAGCUUGUUGGUGGGGUAACGGCCCACCAAGGCGAUGUUAGGUAGCCGGCCUGAGAGGGUGGACGGCCACAAGGGGACUGAGAUACGGCCCUUACUCCUACGGGAGGCAGCAGUGGGGAAUAUUGGACAAUGGGGGCAACCCUGAUCCAGCAAUUCUGUGUGCACGAUGAAGGUUUUCGGAUUGUAAAGUGCUUUCAGCAGGGAAGAAAAAAAUGACGGUACCUGCAGAAGAAGCGACGGCUAAAUACGU